rnacentral:rRNA from 1 species
GAUGAACGCUAGCUACAGGCUUAACACAUGCAAGUCGAGAGGUAACGAGAGGAAAGCUUGCUUUCCUUGUCGACGACCGGCGCACGGGUGAGUAACGCGUAUCCAACCUGCCCCCAACUAGGGAAUAACCUUGCGAAAGUAAGACUAAUACCCUAUAAUUUCCUCAGAUGUCAUCUGACGAGGAAUAAAGAUUUAUCGGUUGUGGAUGGGGAUGCGUCUGAUUAGCUUGUUGGCGGGGUAACGGCCCACCAAGGCAAAGAUCAGUAGGGGUUCUAGGAGGAAGGUCCCCCACAUUGGAACUGAGACACGGUCCAAACUCCUACGGGAGGCAGCAGUGAGGAAUAUUGGUCAAUGGGCGGAAGCCUGAACCAGCCAAGUAGCGUGCAGGAUGACGGCCCUAUGGGUUGUAAACUGCUUUUAUACAGGAAUAAAGUUAGCCACGUGUGGUUAUUUGUAGGUACUGUAUGAAUAAGGACCGGCUAAUUCCGUGCCAGCCGCCGCCGUAA